UUUCAGUUGCGCCAUGCACUCAGGUUCCAGGCACAGCAUUCAGUAGCUGUGGCCCCUCCUGCCCUCGCUCCUGCGAUGACCUGGCACACUGUGAGUGGCAAUGUGAGCCAGGGUGCUACUGUACAGAGGGAAGGGUCCUGUCUGCCAAUGGAACGGUCUGCAUUGAGAGAGAAGAUUGCCCCUGUCUGGACCUGAGUUCUGGACUCCGGCUAGAACCAGGAGAGAUCACUGAAUCCCAGGAUGGAUGUAACAACUGCACCUGUAUAGGUGGGAGGCUCAACUGCACAAGAUAUCCCUGCUCAGGU